rnacentral:lncRNA from 1 species
UUGCCCCAUUUUAAAAACACUAUGUUUGUUUUCUUUGUUUUUUGUUUGUGUGUAAGAAUAUGUGUAUGUGUGUUGUGUUUUUAUGUUGUGGUGGUGGUGUUAAAGGUUUGAUUUAGGGUUGAUGAUGAUGAUGUGAAUUGAGAGAAAGGAGCAUGUGUGUGUGUGUGUGUGUGUGUGUGUGUGUGUGUGUGNNNGAAGAGAAGAGUGAUGAUGGAUGAUAGUGGAGGGCAAUUACGAACACAUUUGUACAAACACCGACUUUCUAGUAGUAUUCAUUUUUUUUUUCUUUUUUUGUGCGUGUGUGUUUUGUUUCCUUGUGCCGCCGGCUGGUAAGAACAAAACCAAUAACUACACAGCUCCAAACCAAAAACUAACUACUAUUGCUUUUGGUUUUUCUCUAUUUUUGGUCAAAGCUAAAUCCUACUUUAUUAAUUUG